UACGGAGGAUGCAAGCGUUAUCCGGAAUGAUUGGGCGUAAAGCGUCCGCAGGUGGUUUUGUAAGUCUGCUGUUAAAGCGUCAUGCUCAACAUGAUUAAAGCGGUGGAAACUACAAGACUAGAGUGCGUUAGGGGUGAAGGGAAUUCCUGGUGUAGCGGUGAAAUGCGUAGAGAUCAGGAAGAACACCGGUGGCGAAGGCGCUUCACUAUGCCGCAACUGACACUGAGGGACGAAAGCUAGGGGAGCGAAUGGG
rnacentral:rRNA from 1 species